ACACUCCUGCGGGAGGCAGCAGUGGGGAAUAUUGGACAAUGGGGGCAACCCUGAUCCAGCCAUGCCGCGUGAGUGAUGAAGGCCCUAGGGUUGUAAAGCUCUUUUGUGCGGGAAGAUAAUGACGGUACCGCAAGAAUAAGCCCCGGCUAACUUCGUGCCAGCAGCCGCGGUAAUACGAAGGGGGCUAGCGUUGCUCGGAAUCACUGGGCGUAAAGGGUGCGUAGGCGGGUCUUUAAGUCAGGGGUGAAAUCCUGGAGCUCAACUCCAGAACUGCCUUUGAUACUGAGGAUCUUGAGUCCGGAAGAGGUGAGUGGAACUGCGAGUGUAGAGGUGAAAUUCGUAGAUAUUCGCAAGAACACCAGUGGCGAAGGCGGCUCACUGGUCCGGUACUGACGCUGAGGCACGAAAGCGUGGGGAGCAAACAGGAUUAGAAACCCCUGUAGUCCC
rnacentral:rRNA from 1 species